GGAAAGGCUGGGUGGAAUCCCGGCUUAGGCAACUGACACUAAAGAUAGAGCGGGACACGAACGGGAUGUUGCAGUGCCAUCCGUAUCCUAAUGAAUUUGUAGACUUAUCUAAGCCAUGUCCGCAUUGUGCUUUUUUUACGGGCUUGCAGAGGAAACAGGGUGUCAAAGUGCAAGAAGGGCAACAAUUUGAUAUUCGUGGCACAGUCGAUGAGUUUAAGCAAGAUGUAAGCAUGUACGCUUACUGGAGACCAGGCAUGGAUAUCUAUGUAUCUCAUGUUCGGAGGAAGCAAAUUCCUCCAUUUGUCUUUCCAGAUGGGUAUAAGAGACCAAGGCAACCUAGGAAUACAAGUCAUAGUACUCCUGAGAAAGUUGCUAAAGACUGCAUGUCUCCUGAAGAACGGCAGCCAAAGAGGAAACAGGAGACUGAAACAGUCCAUGUAAAUUUGGGCAAACCAGGGAAACGUGCUUCUAUCAGUCCGCAGAGGAUCGGAUCUGUUUCUCCUCUAGGUAGUUCUUGCAGGUCUGACGGAUCAUCACAGAUAAUCAUUUCUGAUGAGUCACAGAGGGAGCUUGAGAGUUCUUGCCUAAUGGACAGUUCUGAUGAUAGAUCAUUACAUAGGAUAUUGCGCAGCAGAAGUGAUUCCUCUCCGAGUGACAGUUCCAUUUGUACACCUGAUAGUUUAAACUAUACAACGUUGAGGGGUUCCACCUUAUUAGGAGUUUCCAGAGAAGUUGAAUUAGAUAGUUCCAACACAAAAUCCCUCCCAAACAAGGAAGUGCUCAGUCCAUGUGAAGACAUAUGCAGUAGAGACGUCCAGACUUUUCAAGUCUUGCAGAAUGAUGAGAAGGGGGAGAUUUUGGGAUCACUUCAUCAGGAUAUUGUUGGGCAGCUCAACGAACCAUGCAUUCAGACUCGUUGUGCAGAAAGUCUCGAAAGAGUGACUGUAUCAAAUUCCAACACCCAGAACCUCACUUGCGAGGGUGAUAUAAGCUUGGCUGAUCGGAUUUCACAACUUGGGGAUGGAUGUCUAAGUGGGAAUGGAGAACUGGGUAAUGGCUUGGCAGAGAUGUCACAGCCAAACCUUUCUCUCACAAGGGCAAUGGAACCACAGGAUGGGACAAGCUCAGAGGCUGUGCAGGAGGCUGCAAUAAGUCGAGAGCCGGCGUGGAGGUGAUACCUUGAAUAGAGUCGUGGAUCUUAUCUGCUUCAUUUGUUAAGAACGUUGGUAGAUGAUGUGGAAAACAAAUAGCAUGUGGAUGUUUGUUUGAAGAAGCAGCGUGAAACAGGGUAGUGGCUACUACUUUUUUUCUUUCAACGGUCUAGAAAAGACAUGCUUUUUAUUGUGAUGAUGUUACUAACCUUAUUAUUGUGAGAUGGUACUAUUUUGUUUGGACUUCCUGUAGUAUAUAUACAUCUGAUAUAUUUGUAGUUACUAUCCUCGAUGCAUGUCAUAUUCCGAAAUUUUAUUAUCUUUUUA
rnacentral:misc_RNA from 1 species